GGGGUUCCCAUCCACCCGUACUUGCUGUCUGCUGAAUCUCAGCUGGAGAUGAUCCUCAAAUCAAGAGGAAAAACAUAAGAUGAAAGAACAAAGGCCCCAAAUCAUCUCUCUCUCAUCUCUACUCACAGCAUCAACAACCCUCGAAGGACAAAGGAAGCAUGAUUGAGGAGGGAUGCUGGCUGACAAUUCAGCCAAUUAGAUUGCUAUAACCUGUGCACACCCAAGUGUAGCACUGACACAGCCUAGCUUUUCAGGAGAGGAAGAACAAAAGAUUUGUGUGGUUGGUGGUCGCUUCAUCCCAGAGCCCUUUAAAAGAAGGGGAGGAGGACCUUUCUACCCAGGAGAGCGUACAGGGCCAGAACGCAAUAUUCCCCAGCUUUGCUAUGUGAGUGCUUUCUGUGAGAAGGCCACGUGUAACUGAAAUUCAUAUUAACCUAAGAACGGCCAGACUGGGUCAGACCAAUGGUCCAUCUAGCCCAGUAUCCUGUUUUCUGACAGUGACCAGUGCCAGACGCUUCAGAGGGAAUGAACAGAACACGGCCAUUAUUGAGUGAUCUAUCCUCCGUCGGCCAGUCACAGCUUUUGACAGGCAGAAGUUUAGGGACACCCAGAGCAUGGGGUUGUGUCCCUGACCAUCUUGGUGAAUAGCCAUUGAUGGACCUAUCCUCCAUGAAUUUAUCCAGUUCUUUUAUGAACCCAGUUAUAAUUUUGGCUUUCACAACAUCCCUUGGCCACGCUUUCCACAGGUUGACAAUGACUACUUUUGACAACCACACAUCGUUGGUCUUGGGGAUUUUAGGUUUUGCAGGAAGUACUCCACUCUUUACAGACCUACAGUUGGUUCAAUAUUUUCCAACCUCAGUCCUGUACCACUGAAAUAAAAGGUUCCACACUAAGAGCA